rnacentral:rRNA from 1 species
UAAAGAUUCAUCGCUGAUAGAUAGGCAUGCGUUCCAUUAGGCAGUUGGCGGGGUAACGGCCCACCAAACCGACGAUGGAUAGGGGUUCUGAGAGGAAGGUCCCCCACAUUGGUACUGAGACACGGACCAAACUCCUACGGGAGGCAGCAGUGAGGAAUAUUGGUCAAUGGGCGUAAGCCUGAACCAGCCAAGUCGCGUGAGGGAUGAAGGUUCUAUGGAUCGUAAACCUCUUUUAUAAGGGAAUAAAGUGUGGGACGUGUCCUAUUUUGUAUGUACCUUAUGAAUAAGGAUCGGCUAACUCCGUGCCAGCAGCCGCGGUAAUACGGAGGAUCCGAGCGUUAUCCGGAUUUAUUGGGUUUAAAGGGUGCGUAGGCGGCCUUUUAAGUCAGCGGUGAAAGUCUGUGGCUCAACCAUAGAAUUGCCGUUGAAACUGGGAGGCUUGAGUAUGUUUGAGGCAGGCGGAAUGCGUGGUGUAGCGGUGAAAUGCUUAGAUAUCACGCAGAACCCCGAUUGCGAAGGCAGCCUGCCAAGCCAUGACUGACGCUGAUGCACGAAAGCGUGGGGAUCAAACAGGAUUAGAUACCCUGGUAGUCCACGCAGUAAACGAUGAUCACUAGCUGUUUGCGAUACAGUGUAA